CUCCCUUCCUCUGUUUCUCCCUCCCUCAAGCCCCUCUUACCUCCCCGAUCUGCUAGCAAUGCAUCCAAAUCGAUGACCUCUAUGCGCGUCCUAAGAGAAAGUGAGGCAGAGGUAGCGGCCCAUGGCUGGAUUAAGCUGCUGCGAAGCUCAGUGCCUCUGCUGCGAGCUUGCAGAGAUGAGAGUAUGGGCAUCAGCUGACGACGGGGAUACUGUGGGCGUCGGCGGCCGGGGCUACAAUGGAGCCCGGCACCACGGCACCCGGAGCUGCAAUGGAGCUCUGCCUGGGCUGCGAUGGAUCCCGGCACCACGGCGGCCGGAGCUGCAAUGGAGCUCCGUCAGGGCUGCAAUGAAGAGCGGGCGCUACUGCCGGCGGCGUGGCAAGUUGAGGACGGCGACGCUCGCCACCGGUGCUGCAAUGAAGCGAGCAUUGAUGCCGACGGCAUUGCAAUGGAGCAGGUGCUGCUGCGGGCGGCGCGGCAAGUCGAGGAAGGCGACACUCGCCACCAGUGAUGCAAUGAAGUGAGCGUUGCUGCCAACGACGCGGCAAGCCGAGGACGGGGCGCCGCAAUGAAGCGUCAAUGGAGCCACUGACGACGGCGCUGCUGCAUGGCAAGGGAUGCAAUACUAUGGCAGUGCUGCCGCCUCGAUGAUGUUGUGCUUGUCUGGGUCGCAACAUCGCCGCUGCUGCGAUAUCGUCGGCGCUGGCUCCGUUGCCACGCUGAGGACCUGCUGUAGUCACCUUGGUCACGCGGAGUUGUAGUCGUGUUUGCUGCUUUGCGUUGCUUGUGCUGGUAGUGGUGGAUGAUGUCAUAGCAGCCGCCAUUGUAAAUUGGUGCUACCGCAUCAGCGAGUGGCGUUCCCUGAUCCUUGCAUGCAGAACCAGUUUAGAUGGGAGUUCUAACGACGCAUUAUACAAGGAGCUAUGACAUGCUUGAGCUAGGCUGUUGAUCACGGUGCCUUGCCAAGGUGAAAGAAUUUACUACUUUCCAGAUGGUUAUAUGGAACAGGUAUGUCUCACCGCAUUGAUGUUUGCUCUUCUUGAUGCCCCAUAACUAAUGAAUGAAUUUUGCUACUCAACACAAACAAUAGCAAUUUGUGCUAGGGGGCACUGCUUGAUCUUGUGUUAAAUAAUAAUCAUCCAGGUAUUUAAAGAUCGUCCACAUACACAUUUAGAAUCUGUUAGGGUCCUUGUGUGUGUGAGGCGUGUGCUUCUCUAGUAUGGUCAUGUAUUAGUUGAAAAAUGAGUAUCCAUGAGAGGGCACCACUUUACAUUCAGUGCUUCCAGCCUUGUAGGCCUCACCAUAAGUCCCUUUGCCAAGCUUCACUGUGAUGCCUAACUAACUAUUUCACAAACAUUUUUUUAGCUAAUAAAAGCAACAGUGAAGGUAAAUAAACUCAUUUUCACAUGUCAUGACAAACUGAUUUCUUCCGGCCGCCCUAAAAACAUAGUACUAAUACACCGAGAGACUGUACAAUUGAUCAAGCUACUUUACAAAUUAAUUUAGGAAUAGACUAAACAUAUCAGGAUAUACACCAGUUGACUACGAAGAAAAGAAUUCAUCAUCUAUUAAUACGCUACUAAAUGAAUACAUCCAUUCACAUCUUCAAAAUUGUAUUAUACAUGUCAGAGAAUGACCAACAGUACUUGUUCUCUCUGAAAGCUGUCAAAAAAAUACAAUUAGUAGAAAAGUUAGAAGGAUUUUGAGCUCUAAACUCCAGUUAUCAAUAGACUUUCUACCGAUCUCCAACCGAUUAAUUUAUGACUCAUUAGAUUUACCUAUAAGUGAGCAAUGGUCUGUAAGAUGUGACUUGCUUGCAUGCAUUUCAUAAAUAAAUAUGUAAAUAAAAGUUGGGACUUGCGUACAUACCUGGAUAUUUGCAUUCACAAAGAGACAAUAUAUCUUCAAUUCACAUAUAGGACAAGAAUGUAUAGUCACAAACUCACAAUUCCAUGGCAGCAAAAAUCUUCAACAAUCUGUUAACUCCAUAAAACAAUGAUAUUAGAGAUCUCUUGUUUUGUUGAUAUAUUGACAUAUAGAGGAAGAAGAUUUAGUCGACAGGAGAGGAGAAGCAACCAUCAAUUGUGCUAAUGUCACCUCUCCGUAGUACCAUAUGUCCAAAGGCACUCGAGUAAAAA